UUCAAAAAAAAAAACCGUACCUCAGGACGGCGAGGGAAGAGCUUCAAAGACGGGAACGAUGGGAGGAGCCGAGGAGGUGGAGGUUGCGCCGGCGAUGAUGAACACGAUGAUCAGGUGACAAGAGGGGAUCCGUCUGAGGAAAAAAACGUUGAGAAUUUCCUCGAAGAAGAGGGAAUUCAGGAGACUAUCAAGUCUAAGAUUUUGUAGAUCAUCAAAGGAAUGGGUUAGUUAAUCAACAUUCACCUUCCUUUUGGCUCAAGUUAAUAUAUUUGAUUUAAGGGUAAUAUCAGAAAAAUCCUCUGCCAUGGGAACCAACUUUUUUGUUGACGAGAUCCUGUGUUGUUGGUUGACCCUAUUGAUGUUGAAGCACUACUUCCAAAGAAACAUAGACAAAGAGAGCUUUUAGUUUUGGGUUUUGGGUAUUCCAGGUUUGUUAUGAUUUUGGUUUUGGCCAUGGAAGAUAAUUAGCAAGCAU